CUCCGUCGCGCUCUUUCUGUUCGGAUUCCGUGGGAGAAGGAGCAUUAAAAGUGCCUUCAGCUCAGCUGUUGUCUGGCUGUUAUUUUCACAAGACACAACGCAGAUUCAACUACGCUACACCUGCAU